AGCGACCAUGUGGACACUCAUCAUCUGGAUUUUGUGGGCAGCUAAUCUAACAGAUCUGAGUCAUGGCGAUUCUGUCACUCAGUCACUCUCCUCAGAUAUUCGGACAGAAGAAGAGGAAGUGACUCUAAGCUGUACCUAUGAUACCACAUUGAGCAAAUAUUCAUUAUUCUGGUACCGACAGCAUCCAGACUCACAGCCCGAGUUCAUAGCGUUGAAAACUUAUGCUGGUUAUGAGGACAAAGCAGAUUUUGCUGAAAGUCGCUUCUCAAUCGAGCUUCAGACCUUGUAUAAAUUCACCAGUUUGACUAUCACUGAGCUAGAACUGGCUGAUGCUGCGGUGUAUUACUGCGCUUUCUGGACCAGCACAGUGGUGUCAAUCAGUCUCCCCCCUGUACAAAAAUUGUCUUUGCAUCAUAGAAUUAUCGAGAUUGGAAGCGAGUACCGAACAUCUGAUGAGAAGAUAAACAACUUGUGA